GUGAGACCAAGCUCCACGACUCAAACGCAUCGUGACCUAGAAGCUGCUGAUGUCUGGCCUUGUUACAGAAGCAUGCUCAGAUAAGAGUCCACCAACUUUAUUCUCAGGAAUACACUGGUCAGGAAGAAACUCUAAUGGGACACAGAUGAAGCCAUUCAAGAGAAGAAACCGACUGAGGUCUGAAACAUUUGGUAUAUUGAAUUGGUCUAGGAUUAUGAAACCUAAACCUGCCAUUGUAAACAGGAAGGUGGAUCCCAGUUCUUCCAUCAUUUAUUGUCCAUUCUAUAUACUUUCCAUAUCUAUAUGUCAAGAAAGCCACUUGUCUCUGGUGUCCAUGCUCAUCUGUCCAAGAUCUAACACUGGGAGGUUCUACAAUGACCUAGAUUGUAAGACAUCACCACCAGGGCAUGCACUAGCACGGACAAAGGCAUGUGAGCCCAUGUGAGCAUGAAGCUUCUCUAGGUUCAGGUUAGAAAUCUCAAGUGCUGCAUAUUGGUCACAUCUUUAUGUAGGCAGCUUUGGAUGGAUGCCUAUGUAAAGCCACCAUGCAUUUACCAUUGCUGCUUCCUCAACCCACCUGGAUUUUUAUUUUCUUCAACGUUCCUCUUCUUCCACUUUCUGCCUAGCUUUUCUCCCACUUUGUGGAUCUUUUUCCCAAUGUCUUGGGAUGUGGAGGAAGGAGAAACUCUGGGGACAUGGUGAGUUAAGAAAAUAUUUAUGGGUCAAUGUGAGAAAAGCUCAACUAAUUGGCAUUUGGAGGUAAAUCGGCAGGAUGGAUUUGUAGCAGACAAGAUAGGCUUCUUAGCUGCCUGGCAUCAUCUCAUUUGAUAUGGAAAUAGUCCAGUAAAGUUCUAACCUCAGUUGGACCUUGCUAUUUUAAGUAGUCCAAAUGCAUAGAAAUGUAUUUCCAAUUGCCCCUUGGGCUUAACUGACCUGUUUCCAUGAAUGAAUUUAAUGAUAAAGACUGAUUAUUUUCCAAGUGUUUUAAUUCCUGCAUUCACUUCAGAUUGGC
rnacentral:lncRNA from 1 species